CAGGAUGAACGCUGGCGGCGUGCUUAACACAUGCAAGUCGAACGGGGGCGUGAUGUGCGAGAGGGAUAGUUUACUAGACUUCAAACUUUUCACGCCCUAGUGGCGGACGGGUGAGUAACGCGUGGGUAACCUGCCAUAUACAGGGGGAUAACACUUAGAAAUAGGUGCUAAUACCGCAUAAGCGCACAGGGGCGCAUGCCCCGGUGUGAAAAACUCCGGUGGUAUAUGAUGGACCCGCGUCUGAUUAGCCAGUUGGCAGGGUAACGGCCUACCAAAGCGACGAUCAGUAGCCGGCCUGAGAGGGCGGACGGCCACAUUGGGACUGAGACACGGCCCAAACUCCUACGGGAGGCAGCAGUGGGGGAUAUUGCACAAUGGGGGAAACCCUGAUGCAGCGACGCCGCGUGAGUGAAGAAGUAUUUCGGUAUGUAAAGCUCUAUCAGCAGGGAAGAAAAUGACAGUACCUGACCAAGAAGCCCCGGCUAACUACGUGCCAGCAGCCGCGGUAAUACGUAGGGGGCAAGCGUUAUCCGGAUUUACUGGGUGUAAAGGGAGCGUAGACGGUUAUGUAAGUCUGGAGUGAAAGCCCGGGGCCCAACCCCGGGACUGCUUUGGAAACUGUGUAACUGGAGUACAGGAGGGGCAGGCGGAAUUCCUGGUGUAGCGGUGAAAUGCUUAGAUAUCAGGAGGAACACCGGCGGCGAAGGCGGCCUGCUGGACUGAAACUGACGUUGAGGCUCGAAAGCGUGGGGAGCAAACAGGAUUAGAUACCCUGGUAGUCCACGCCGUAAACGA
rnacentral:rRNA from 1 species